CCUACGGGUGGCAGCAGUGGGGAAUAUUGCACAAUGGGCGAAAGCCUGAUGCAGCAACGCCGCGUGAAGGAAGACGGUUUUCGGAUUGUAAACUUCUGUUCUUAGUGAAGAAUAAUGACGGUAACUAAGGAGCAAGCCACGGCUAACUACGUGCCAGCAGCCGCGGUAAUACGUAGGUGGCAAGCGUUGUCCGGAAUUACUGGGUGUAAAGGGAGCGUAGGCGGGAAGCCAAGUCAGCUGUGAAAACUACGGGCUUAACCUGUAGACUGCAGUUGAAACUGGCUUUCUUGAGUGAAGUAGAGGUUGGCGGAAUUCCGGGUGUAGCGGUGAAAUGCGUAGAUAUCACGAAGAACCCCGAUUGCGAAGGCAGCCGGCCGCAGCGUUACUGACGCUGAAGCUCGAAAGCGCGGGUAUCGAACAGGAUUAGAUACCCGGGUAGUC
rnacentral:rRNA from 1 species